rnacentral:rRNA from 1 species
UACGAAGGGGGCUAGCGUUGCUCGGAAUCACUGGGCGUAAAGCGCACGUAGGCGGCUUUUUAAGUCAGGGGUGAAAUCCUGGAGCUCAACUCCAGAACUGCCUUUGAUACUGAGAGCUUGAGUCCGGGAGAGGUGAGUGGAACUGCGAGUGUAGAGGUGAAAUUCGUAGAUAUUCGCAAGAACACCAGUGGCGAAGGCGGCUCACUGGCCCGGUACUGACGCUGAGGUGCGAAAGCGUGGGGAGCAACAGG